rnacentral:rRNA from 1 species
CAGUCGAGCGGACAGAGGGAGCUUGCUCCCGGAUGUUAGCGGCGGACGGGUGAGUAACACGUGGGUAACCUGCCUGUAAGACUGGGAUAACUCCGGGAAACCGGAGCUAAUACCGGAUAGUUCCUUGAACCGCAUGGUUCAAGGAUGAAAGACGGUUUCGGCUGUCACUUACAGAUGGACCCGCGGCGCAUUAGCUAGUUGGUGAGGUAACGGCUCACCAAGGCGACGAUGCGUAGCCGACCUGAGAGGGUGAUCGGCCACACUGGGACUGAGACACGGCCCAGACUCCUACGGGAGGCAGCAGUAGGGAAUCUUCCGCAAUGGACGAAAGUCUGACGGAGCAACGCCGCGUGAGUGAUGAAGGUUUUCGGAUCGUAAAGCUCUGUUGUUAGGGAAGAACAAGUGCAAGAGUAACUGCUUGCACCUUGACGGUACCUAACCAGAAAGCCACGGCUAACUACGUGCCAGCAGCCGCGGUAAUACGUAGGUGGCAAGCGUUGUCCGGAAUUAUUGGGCGUAGAGGGCUCGCAGGCGGUUUCUUAAGUCUGAUGUGAAAGCCCCCGGCUCAACCGGGGAGGGUCAUUGGAAACUGGGAAACUUGAGUGCAGAAGAGGAGAGUAGAAAUUCCACGUGUAGCGGUGAAAUGCGUAGAGAUGUGGAGGAACACCAGUGGCGAAGGCGACUCUCUGGUCUGUAACUGACGCUGAGGAGCGAAAGCGUGGGGGAGCGAACAGGAUUACAUACCCUGGUAGUCCACGCC